GCCCUGUAUCAGUGUUGUUAUUGGGGGAAACAGGCCCUGUAUCAGUGUUGUUAUUGGGGGAAACAGGCCCUGUAUCAGUGUUGUUAUUGGGGGAAACGGGCCCUGUAUCAGUGUUGUUAUUGGGGGAAACGGGCCCUGUAUCAGUGUUGUUAUAGGGGGAAGCUUGCCCUGUAUCAGUGUCGUUAUUGGGGGAAGCUGGUCCUGUAUCAGUGUUGUUAUUGGGGGAAGCUGGCCCUGUAUCAGUGUUGUUAUUGGGGGAAACAGGCCCUGUAUCAGUGUUGUUAUUGGGGGAAACGGGCCCUGUAUCAGUGUUGUUAUAGGGGGAAGCUGGCCCUGUAUCAGUGUUGUUAUAGGGGGAAGCUGGCCCUGUAUCAGUGUUGUUAUUGGGGGAAGCAGGCCCUGUAUCAGUGUUGUUAUAGGGGGAAACAGGCCCUCUAUCAAUGUUGUUAUUUGGGGGGUAGCACUAUUCACUAUCCAGAGGAAGGAGGGGUGGGGGGGUCAUAGGUCAUAGGUCAUGUUAUCAUACAGUUAGAGGAACUGAUAAUAAAAGGUGCUGUGUGCAGAAGUUGCACUAUAACUACUUUAGAAAUAUAAAUGUCUUUGUAAAUAAAUAAAUACAUGCAUAAAUAAAUAAAUGAUAAUGUUGUUAAAUAUAUAAAUAUAACCUCAACUUAAUAAAAUAAAAAAAAUCUGACUCGGAUAUUAAUUAAGAUUACAUUUGGAGGAUUUUCAUAUAUAAUAUAUGCCAUUUAGCAGACGCUUUUAUCCAAAGCGACUUACAGUCAUGUGUGCAUACAUUCUACGUAUGGGUGGUCCCGGGGAUCGAACCCACUACCCUGGCGUUACAAGCGCCAUGCUCUACCAACUGAGCUACAGAAGGUCCAUAUAUGAUGCAUGUCAGAGCUAGUGUAGAUCGUCUACUGAGAGUAGAUACAGAGAUGUAGACGAACCAUCAUGUGUUUCCUUCUACUAGAAAACCAGUGUGAACGUUUGAUCGAUGCCAACCCUCAUCUCGUCGCCAGGCUGUGGAUGCAUCCCAACUGGCACACGACUGUCUGCAUAGUUCACUGCAUUUGACCAGAGCAACUAUGAAAGAGACCAUGGGCCCAAAUAAAAAAAAAUGAUGCACUACAUAGGUAAUAGAUUGCAUUUUAAAAAACAUUUUUGAACCUUUAUUUAACUUGGGACGCACCCUGUGUGUGUGUUAACGUAUCAAGACAUAUCGGGGGGAAUACGCAGAUUAGAUAGCGUCCUUGAGGAGCUAUUCAUGAAGAGCUAUUCUGUCCUUUCCAACAGAACUGAGCUGGUAUGGAAAGAGACAAGGGACAGAACAGGUACUACAGCCAACUGUCGUUUUACUCUCCUAUGGGACAGAACAGGUACUACAGCCAACUGUCGUUUUACUCUCCUAUGGGACAGAACAGGUACUACAGCCAACUGUCGUUUUACUCUCCUAUUUUAUUUUAUUUUUGUUGUUGUUG